AUGAACGACCUCUUCUGGAAUUGUAGAGGAGCAGGUAAGAGAGGGAGAGCUACCUGCUUCUCUGACAUCAUUAGAGACCACUCCCUCGAUUUUAUAGGAAUCCUAGAAACAAAGAAGGAGAAGUUUGCACACAAAUACCUAAGAAAAGUUGAUCCCUUUGAGAGAUUUACUUGGAACUGGACUCCCUCCAUUGGUAAAUCUGGUGGCAUCCUUUGUGGUGUCAGGAAAGAAGCCUUGGAUGUUGUGUCUUGGAUGGUAGGUAAGUACCUACUACAGGUGGCCAUCUAUGAUGCUAAACUCAAAAGUAUUUGGACUCUAGUUGUAGUCUAUGGAGCAGCACACGAUGAGAAGAGGGACGAAUUCCUUGAUGAAUUGACCUUUUGUUGUGGCAACAUCAAAACUCCUUAUGUGAUUGGAGACUUCAAUAUCCUUCGGGACAGUAGUGAUAAAAACAAACCCCUACAUAGAUCGCAACAUAUGGAUAGGUUUAACAAUGCCAUCCACUCUCUGAAUCUUAGAGAGAUUCAUAUGGGAGGGGGCAGGUUCACUUGGACCAAUAAACAGAGGCACCCAACGCUCGAGAAGCUUGACAGAGUUCUCAUGAGCCCUGAUUGGGAAGAUCUUUUUCCUCUUCUUGUUGUUUGUAAAUUAGUAAGAGAUAUUUCUGACCAUAAUCCUUUGUUGCUGACAACAAAUCCUGGAAAAAAUGGUCCCAUGCACCAGCGUGAGUUCAGAUUUGAGCUUAGUUGGUUGAAGAAUGAGGAUUUCUAUGCUAAAGCUAAGAUGAUUUGGGAGAAACAUGUGCACUCGGAGGACCCCAUAGAUAUCUUGAAUAUUAAGCUCAAACGAAUAAAAAAUACUUUAAAGGAUGGGGCUCUCACCUCUUCGGCCAUGCCAAAAAGAGGAAAAAGUGGAUUAAGAAGGAACUGGAAGAAAUAG
rnacentral:rRNA from 1 species